UGCAUUUUCAGCUUUCAGUCCAGAUGCUUAUGUUUGCGUGAUCCAACUCAUGACGUCUCUUAUGGGUGUGCCUUGUGGACAUUUGGUAAGUACUCCGUAAAUUCUGGAUCAUUCCAUAGUCCUGUAAAGCGCUCAUCUACCUUCCGUGUCUUGCUUCUUCUCUUCUGUGUUUUCAUUUUCUUUUUUCUUAUCGCUCCACUUUUCUGUUUGUCUGUUGGAAGGAUGUAUAUACCACAUAUCGAACAGUAUUGGAGGAUAGUAGAACAGUAUUGGGGGAUAGUAGGAUCUAUAUAUUACAUAGUGAACAAUUUUGGGGGGGAUCAGAUUUACAGUCUGUGAAGGUUGUAGUUGGUAUUUUAGGUGCUUUCACGACAAUCUGGAUAUUGUUAGUGCUUUGAGAAAAAGGGGGUUUCUAAAUGUUGUCUACGUCUUUUGUAGAGAUUUCUCUAUUGGUUUGGGUUUUGCUAGUUUUGCACUGUUCCUUCUUUCUGUGUUUGGAGUUGUGGUCUUGAAGAAAAAUUCUACUUCCUGUGGGGCUGCUUUUGUUUGUUGAUGUAUGUUGAGGUUUCAUUUGGUUCAAGCUCCUUACUGCCGAAUUUUCAGUACAAUUCUCUUCUUCUGGUGAGCUUAACUGAGAAUUUUGCAUAUCAGUGGUGGUUAGCGCACAUGGUCAUAUCAUUCAAUUUCUGAUUCUGUUAUUGGGUGCGCUAUCUGCAGCCAUAAUCACUAUUUUCAGACUAAUUGUUGUUGGGUAAUGAAGCCUCUUUUUCAAAGUUGCUUGUUUCAAUAAAUUGUACAAAAUUGAAGUCUCUUAAUAUUUUUGGAGGUCUCUUCCCUAUAUAUUUUUUAAAACAUCAUAUUGUGUUUCAGAUAUUCAGUAAUUUGAGGAGUUGCUUCACACUGUCAGCUAUUAUGUAAAACGUUAAUGUAAAAAGAGAGAUGUUUCACACUUUUUUUCUCCAUGAAGCAUCGCCAUUUGAACAGUAUUUGCAUAAAAGAGCUAGCAGCAAUUAAUUGGAUCUAAGAUCGGAUCAAGUAAAAAACUUGGCUCAUCUUUUGUGCAGUCGUGUAAAAGAUCUUCUCAUAAUAUAUACCCUUGUAAAUCCAUCACACAUCAAAUCAUCAUGCAAGUUGGGGAUUUUCUCAACAAAUCUUGUUCUUCUAGAUACUCUUCAAAGUUAACCCUAACUCACGCCCCAAAAGCAAUUUCAAAGGAAGGAAGCUUGCCAAACCUUAUAAGGGGUUCACCCAUCUCAUUAACCUCUGAUGUGGGACUUUUGUCAUUCUUUAACAAUAGGUAACCUUUGUUGUGCCAUUCUUUGUGUUGAUGUUGUAUCAUUGGUGUAUGUUGAGUCAAAUGUCACUUGACAGAGGGUAUGCUUUGUAAAAUGUCACUAACAAGAUAAGAAUUCCAAAAAGUAAAAUGGAAGAAGUUUUUUUAAAAAAAUAUUACUAACCAGAUAGUCUGUUCAGCCAAAUGACACUUCACAGAUUAGUCACUGAUGGUUUCGUCACUUUGUACUUCUCAUGUUCUUCUAAGGCUGGGAGCUCGUCUUCUCUCCUUGCUCCUUGGGUUUCUUGUAAUGGUGAUUGAGUAGGAACCUUGCACAAGUAAACGCGGAUCUUCUAAGAAGCCCGCCUCAGAGCGAGUUAUGAAGUUAUGAGAAAAUGUUGUUGUCUUUGCCUUCAUUCAUAGAGUAUAGCUCUUCAUUCACAUGUUGCACUCUACAUUUUGUUGUUAUACUUUGGACAUCGUAUGAUUUAGAGCAACAUGCUUUGAUGUCUUGGUUGUAUCAUUAGAAACAACAUUUUGGUGAAGCGAGUUCUGACUAUGAUUUCAGGUGCAGGUUUUUAGGAGUUCUCUUGGAAUUCUUUUGUGAAUUGGGUUUCGGUUAAGACCUAUCUUUCUCCCCCUUCCCCUAAGAGCUAGCAGCCUCUUUUGGAUGGUUAGAGGUGUUGAUGGUGGCUCCAUGUAUGCAAGAUUUUAUUCAGGUCUUGCAUAAUGUGAUAAUGAGAAUGUAUGUGUGUGUGUUAUUCAAAUAUGCACCAUGACAGUGCUAUCUACAAUUACAAAAACCUAACCAUGCUUAGGACUACAGCUUCACAAGGAACCUAUUAUAUUAACUAGUGAUUCAGUCUCCUCUACAUAGUUUUCUUUACACAAAAAAGGGAACAAAAGAAUACAAUUCAUCUUGAUUUUCUACACAGGAUUGCUUUUGACUUCAAAAAUUCCUCUCUUUCCAAAUUAUCCUAUAUACAAGCUAGGACAAGUACCUACCACUUCUUUUGUCGCACUGCACCGCCAUUGUUGUUCCAACACUUCAAUAAUUCACGACUUGUUUCUGGCAUAGAACAAACCAUCUUAGUCCUGCCAUGUUCAAAAAAAGUUGCCACAAUUCUCCAGUUAUAGGACAAAUAUAGAAACAGAUGGCCAUUGUUUUCUCCAACUGCACCACACAUACAACAUCUAGAGCAUAGAUUAAAUCCCCUUCUUCUUAAGUUUUCUUCAGUGAGGCAUGUUUCUCUUGAUACAAGCCAAGAAAAACAUAAGAAUUUGUAAGGGGCCUUAGUCUUCCCGAUGAACUUCCAUGGCCACUGGUCAAAUUGUGCAUUUUGUCUUAUCUGGUAUUUGUAUGCUGAUUUGACGAUGCAGACUCCAUCACUUCUAGAUGUCCAGCACAACCUAUCCUCAGAUUCUUCGAAGCCCUGUAAAGAUCUCAAGGUCUUUAACAUGUCCACAACUAUUUCCAAUUACCAGUCAUGUAAUAAUCUUCUAGAAGUGAUAUUCCACCCAUGUACUCCUUUAGCUGAUUUAAGGUUAAUAUCUGGUAAAGUUUUGUUUCUUCUCGUUACUCUAUAAACAUCCCUGCUUGGUCAUAAUGGGGAGGGCAGGAAAUUGGAGAACUUUUAUUCUGCCAGUUGUCUUAUCUAAUCAAGUGGAUUUCAAUUUUCUCCCAGGUGCAUGUUUCUGCUCCAUGGUUUGUAGUUGUUGGAAGCUUGGGGGUUGGGAGGAGUCCAGGCUGAUUUUUUGAGUUCUUUUUACCAUUAUUAUCUGUUCAUUUUCCUGAUGACCAGAGAUGGUUGAUGAUUUUUUUUGUACUUAUUGAAUUGAAUGGGUCUGUAUUUGUUGGAGCAGUUGUAUUCUUAGGUUUUCUAAUUUUGCUCUAUAGUGGUAUGGAAAAUAAGCAGAUCUGUCAGUUGCAGAAAAGAAUGUCUAGCAGAAAGUCCUUGGGUUUGCAGAUAUAUUUUGAAGCUUGACGUUGUUGUAAAUUCCCACUUCUGUUGGUUUCUUGAAGGCAUCCAAGGACUUUCGGUUUAGGUUAUGCCAAUUUCUUUCUGGUUCUACCUGAGGUAGUAUAUGGUAAGGGUAUUAGACCAUGCAAUUUUUUCUUUUGGAUGUCAAUGCUCUUUCAUUAUGUUGUAACAAAGUAAACCUCAACCUCAUCUCCGGUAUCAGCAGCAGAUCAUCUUUUUUUGCUUCUUCUUAUCUGGAGACUAUUAGUACAAGUUUUUAUGUCUUUCCUUGUAGAUGUUGCUUUCUGUAUUCCAUGUUGUUAGGCGAUUGGCUCAUUCAAAAUCAUGUAGAGGGUCUCUCUUCCAUGUUUUUUGGCUUUCUUUAUGCAUAAUUUCCAUUAGCUUUAAAUGUUGUACAGGUGUUUUGAGUGGUGGAAUUUUUGUGUUAUCUACAGUGAGUAGAUUUUUGGUUGCACAGUGAACCCACAAAAAAUAAGAAGGGAUGAGAAUAAGGAGGUUCUAAGAAACUGUCUGUUAUAGUCAUACAGUUGUUUAUUCUACAAUUCGGCUCAUGUUUCUUAAGCAUUUAAUUUAUAUGUUGAUGUGGAUCUCUUUCUUGUAAAACAACACUAAAAAUUUGACUGUAUUGUUUGUGAAGUUGAGAAGGUAUUAGCAUCUUGUAGUAGCUUGGAAGCUUUGGGUUCAGUUUGUUUAGGGUACUUUUCUCUCCUUAAGCUGCAUUUGUAUAAAUUUGCCCGUCAAGAAUUAUCAGCUCAGAGAUCUUUGUUUUGAACCACUGUUUGUCUGGCUUUUGUUCCUUUUUCCUCUGAAGUGUCUUAUAGCUAUUUUGAGUGUUUUUUUGAUGAAUAUACAUAAAUUUAGUUCCAUAUAAGCUGGUUUUUCUCCCUAGAAGUGAUGGGAAGUUGGAAGAUAGUAAAAUCAGUUGUUCCGGAGCAUGUGAAGAAGUUCUUGGUAUGGACGCUUGAAUUUUGUUUUGAUGUUGUUCUCGUCAUAUUUUAAUGUUCCGAAGUAUUCAAAUCUCUGUGUCGGAACAUUGCUAUUGCUUCUUGUUAUUUUGUGGGUGUGUGUUCGACUACAUUUUAGUGUUCAAGUCUCGUACUAGCUAAUGUUCUUUCUCCUACGAUGUGUAGUAAUUUGAUCACCUUGCAGUUUAUGGAGGAUGAGUGUUCUAUUAGGCAGCGAUGUCGCUAGUUGAGUUUUAGCUAUUGAGUAAAAACUAAAUCUUCUCAAAAUAUUGUCUCCUCUCACAUGUAUGAAGUGCAGUUACUGAACAUAGGUGGUAUACAAGGUAAUAUUAUAACAAGUAUAGGUUGUGAAGAAGCUUUCUAUUUUGGGUUGUUAUGAUGAGUUGGAUAUCUCUUUCUUUGGCUUAUCUCAGAUUAUUGUCUCCUCUCACAUGUACGAAAUGCAGUUACUGAAUAUAGGUGGUGUUUAAAAAGUAUAGGCGUGAAGCUGUUUUUAUUUUGGAUUGUAUGAUGAGUUGGAUAUCUUUUUCAUUGGCUUAUCUCACAUUCUUAUUUGGUCUCUUACAGUUUAUGGAGGAUGACUGUUCUGUUAGGCAGCGAUGUCGCUAGUUGAGUUUUAGCUAUUGAGUAGAAACUAAAUCUUCUCAAAAUUAUUGUCUUCUCUCACAUGUACGAAGUGCAGUUACUGAACAUAGGUGGUCUACAAGGUAAUAUUAUAACAAGUAUAGGUUGUGAAGAAGCUUUCUAUUUUGGGUUGUUAUGAUGAGUUGGAUAUCUCUUUCUUUGGCUUAUCUCAAAUUAUUGUCUCCUCUCACAUGUACGAAAUGCAGUUACUGAAUAUAGGUGGUGUUUAAAAGUAUAGGCGUGAAGCUGUUUUUAUUUUGGAUUGUAUGAUGAGUUGGAUAUCUUUUUCCUUGGCUUAUCUCACAUGCUUAUUUGGUCUCUUGCAGUUUAUGGAGGAUGAGUGUUGUGUUAGGCAGCGAUGUCGCUAGUUGAGUUUUAGCUAUUGAGUAAAAACUAAAUCUUCUCAAAACUAUUGUCUCCUCUCACAUGUACGAAGUGCAGUUACUGAACAUAGGUGGUCUACAAGUUUAUGGAGGAUGAGUGUUCUGUUAGGCAGCGAUGUCUCUAGUUGAGUUUUUGCUAUUGAGUAAAAACUAAAUCUUCUCAAAAUUAUUGUCUACUCUCACAUGUACGAAGUGCAGUUACUGAACAUAGGUGGUCUACAAGGUCAUAUUAUAACAAGUAUAGGUUGUGAAGAAGCUUUCUAUUUUGGGUUGUUAUGAUGAGUUGGAUAUCUCUUUCUUUGGCUUAUCUCAAAUUAUUGUCUCCUCUCACAUGUACGAAAUGCAGUUACUGAAUAUAGGUGGUGUUUAAAAAGUAUAGGCGUGAAGCUGUUUUUAUUUUGGAUUGUAUGAUGAGUUGGAUAUCUUUUUCCUUGGCUUAUCUCACAUGCUUAUUUGGUCUCUUGCAGUUUAUGGAGGAUGAGUGUUCUGUUAGGCAGCGAUGUCUCUAGUUGAGUUUUUGCUAUUGAGUAAAAACUAAAUCUUCUCAAAAUUAUUGUCUACUCUCACAUGUACGAAGUGCAGUUACUGAACAUAGGUGGUCUACAAGGUCAUAUUAUAACAAGUAUAGGUUGUGAAGAAGCUUUCUAUUUUGGGUUGUUAUGAUGAGUUGGAUAUCUCUUUCUUUGGCUUAUCUCUAAUUAUUGUCUCCUCUCACAUGUACGAAAUGCAGUUACUGAAUAUAGGUGGUGUUUAAAAAGUAUAGGCGUGAAGCAGUUUUUAUUCUGGAUUGUAUGAUGAGUUGGGUAUCUUUUUCCUUGGCUUA